ensembl:rRNA 5S_rRNA 5S ribosomal RNA
UCUUAGCCAUAUCACCCUGCAGCCCAAGACCGAUCACUCACUGAAGCUAAGCAGGGCUGCGCCUGCUCAGUACCUGGAUGGGAGACCACAUGGGAAAGCUAGGCUGUUGUUGGAA